UACAGAGGGGGCAAGCGUUGUUCGGAAUUACUGGGCGUAAAGGGCGCGUAGGCGGCCUUCUAAGUCGAACGUGAAAUCCCUGGGCUCAACCCAGGAACUGCGUCCGAUACUGGAAGGCUUGAAUCCGGGAGAGGGAUGCGGAAUUCCAGGUGUAGCGGUGAAAUGCGUAGAUAUCUGGAGGAACAUCAGUGGCGAAAGCGACUUCCUGGACCAAUACUGACGCUCAUGUGCGAAAGCGUGGGGAGCAAACAGG
rnacentral:rRNA from 1 species